rnacentral:rRNA from 1 species
GACGGAGGAUGCAAGUGUUAUCCGGAAUCACUGGGCGUAAAGCGUCUGUAGGUGGUUCAAUAGGUCAACUGUUAAAUCUUGAGGCUCAACUUCAAAAUCGCAGUCGAAACUAUUGGACUCGAGUAUAGUAGGGGUAAAGGGAAUUUCCAGUGGAGCGGUGAAAUGCGUAGAGAUUGGAAAGAACACCAAUGGCGAAAGCACUCUGCUGGGCCGACACUGACACUGAGAGACGAAAGCUAGGGGAGCGAAUGGG